rnacentral:rRNA from 1 species
AACGAACGCUGGCGGCAUGCCUAACACAUGCAAGUCGAACGAGACCUUCGGGUCUAGUGGCGCACGGGUGCGUAACGCGUGGGAACCUGCCCUUAGGUUCGGAAUAACUCCCCGAAAGGGGUGCUAAUACCGGAUAAUGUCUUCGGACCAAAGAUUUAUCGCCUUUGGAUGGGCCCGCGUUGGAUUAGCUAGUUGGUAGGGUAAAAGCCUACCAAGGCGACGAUCCAUAGCUGGUCUGAGAGGAUGAUCAGCCACACUGGGACUGAGACACGGCCCAGACUCCUACGGGAGGCAGCAGUGGGGAAUAUUGGACAGUGGGCGAAAGCCUGAUCCAGCAAUGCCGCGUGAAUGAUGAAGGCCUUAGGGUUGUAAAGCUCUUUUACCCGGGAUGAUAAUGACAGUACCGGGAGAAUAAGCUCCGGCUAACUCCGUG